rnacentral:rRNA from 1 species
GAAUUUUGGACAAUGGGCGAAAGCCUGAUCCAGCAAUGCCGCGUGCAGGAUGAAGGCCUUCGGGUUGUAAACUGCUUGUGUACGGAACGAAAAGCUUUGGGUUAAUACCCUGGAUUCCUGACGGUACCGUAAGAAUAAGCACCGGCCAACUACUGUCCAGCCUCCGCGGUAAUACGUAGGGUGCAAGCGUUAAUCGGAAUUACUGGGCGUAAAGCGGGCGCAGGCGGUUUUGUAAGACAGAGGUGAAAUCCCCGGGCUCAACCUGGGAACUGCCUUUGUGGCUGCCAGGCUAGAGUACGGCAGAGGGGGGUGGAAUUCCGCGUGUAGCAGUGAAAUGCGUAGAUAUGCGGAGGAACACCGAUGGCGAAGGCAACCCCCUGGGCCUGUACUGACGCUCAUGCACGAAAGCGUGGGGAGCAAAC